GAGUUUGAUCCUGGCUCAGAUUGAACGCUGGCGGCAUGCCUUACACAUGCAAGUCGAACGGUAACAGGUCUUCGGACGCUGACGAGUGGCGAACGGGUGAGUAAUACAUCGGAACGUGCCCAGUCGUGGGGGAUAACUACUCGAAAGAGUAGCUAAUACCGCAUACGAUCUGAGGAUGAAAGCGGGGGACCUUCGGGCCUCGCGCGAUUGGAGCGGCCGAUGGCAGAUUAGGUAGUUGGUGGGAUAAAAGCUUACCAAGCCGACGACCUGUAGCUGGUCUGAGAGGACGACCAGCCACACUGGGACUGAGACACGGCCCAGACUCCUACGGGAGGCAGCAGUGGGGAAUUUUGGACAAUGGGCGAAAGCCUGAUCCAGCAAUGCCGCGUGCAGGAUGAAGGCCUUCGGGUUGUAAACUGCUUUUGUACGGAACGAAAAAGCUUCUCCUAAUACGAGAGGCCCAUGACGGUACCGUAAGAAUAUGCACCGGCUAACUACGUGCCAGCAGCCGCGGUAAUACGUAGGGUGCGAGCGUUAAUCGGAAUUACUGGGCGUAAAGCGUGCGCAGGCGGUUAUGUAAGACAGAUGUGAAAUCCCCGGGCUCAACCUGGGAACUGCAUUUGUGACUGCAUGGCUAGAGUACGGUAGAGGGGGAUGGAAUUCCGCGUGUAGCAGUGAAAUGCGUAGAUAUGCGGAGGAACACCGAUGGCGAAGGCAAUCCCCUGGACCUGUACU
rnacentral:rRNA from 1 species